AGAGAUGUGUGAUGACGCAUAUCAAUAAGCGGAGGAAAAGAAACUAACAAGGAUUCCCCUAGUAACGGCGAGUGAAGCGGGAAGAGCUCAAAUUUGAAAUCUUAAAGGGUUUCCCUUUACGAAUUGUAGUUUAAAGAAGUGUUUUCUGUUGGAGUUUCGGUAAAAGUUCUUUGGAAUAGGACAUCAUAGAGGGUGAGUAUCCCGUAUUUGACCGUUACUUUCCAGCUGUGUGAUACACUUUCAAAGAGUCGGAUUGUUUGGGAAUGCAGUCCAAGAUGGGUGGUAAAUUUCAUCUAAAGCUAAAUAUUGGCGAGAGACCGAUAGCGAACAAGUACCGUGAGGGAAAGAUGAAAAGAACUUUGAAAAGAGAGUUAAACAGUACGUGAAAUUGUCAAAAGGGAAGCGUUUGACACCAGUGUUGUUUUUCCGAAAAUCAAUUACGAAUGUUUUGUUUUUAAGAAGUUAUGACUUCAUCGGCUUGCUUCUUUCUUUACGAAACUUUCUUAAUGCACUUUUCGGUUAACAAGUCAACAUCAAUUUCUUUUGUUGUAAAAGGGUAUGAGGAAGGUGGCUUUCUUUUCGGAGAAAGUGUUUAUAGCCUUGUACCUCUGCAAUCGGAGAGAUUGAGGUCUGCAGCGUAGAUCCUUCGGGAUUAGAUACAUUUGUGCUAAGUUAUAGCUUUUCAUAGACAACUUGUUGACUAUGUUUAGUCUUGUAGCUUACUCGCUUAUGCUAUUUUACCUACGCUUAGGAUGUUGACGAUCAGCUGAGCGCG
rnacentral:rRNA from 1 species